GCCAUCAGAUGUUUUUAUAAACACCAUUACCUUUGUCUGUUGUCACCAUACAUCACUGCAUUGAUCUUUGUGUGUGUUUCUGUAAUGCAGAAUGUUGACAAGUUUGACUUCCUGUUGUGUCCUCUGCAGGUGGAUACCCUGCGCCAUGUUAUCAGUCAGACGGCAGGAUACAAUGAUGUCCUGGGGGGGAAUCUCAUGUAUAGUCCACAUAGCUUGAAUGGUAAUGGGGGGUGGCAGGCUGCUACGACUCCAUCCUCUGUGAUCUCCCCUGCAGAAGGCCCUGGUAGUGUGCACUCUGAUACCUCGAACUGAUCUCCUCAUUGACAUGGAUCCUUCCCAAGCUGUGGACAACCAAUCACAGAAUUACAAAUCCACAGACUGACCAAUCAGAGACACAGUAUAAACUCUUAACGCUCAUCCAGAAACAUCAUCAUGGAAUCAUCCACAGUACCCUUCCACAGCGUUUUGGAAGCUGGAUAUUUCCUAGCCGUAACAUCAGUCCACUGCAGUUUUUACUAACAAUCUCUCCUCCGAUCAUAUUAAACAAUUAUGUUUUGUUUCUUUUAUCAUUUGAAGUGUGCAAACUCAAAAUGUAUGUUUAAAAAAUAGUGUUUUUUUUUUCUUUUUUCUUGAGUUUAUUACUGGUCAUAACCCUCUCCAUUGUGCUAACUAACUGUCAGCAAAGCUUUAGGAAUACAUCUGGUACUGUACUUACAAAGUAUAUUCAUAUGAUGCUAACCGAUGCAUUUAACAGGGCUAAAUGCUACAGAAGGCAGCUUGGGGGAUUAAUUGCUGAUAUUUUUUUAGUUUUAUUAAUAUCUCACCUAGCAAUGACUAAAACAAGACCACCUAUAGCAGGCAAUCCACUCCAUUUUGGGGGGUGAUUUUUUGAAAUACCUGGCAAUUAAUGUCUUUUAAGAAAAAAAAACACACAAAACGUAAUCAAUAUUCAGUCCACUACAAUUAUUGAAGGUAAGUGUAGAAGAUGGGAAAAGGAAAUAUGGGUCAUCUUGUUGGACGCGCUUCUGGCAAUUUUCCAUUCAAAAACUUUCUUGCAUAUGACAUAGUUUGAGAGUAUUCAUACAUCUCACAAAUAAAUACUCCGCUUUAUUACCUCAUUGAAAAACAUAGAAAACCAAUAGAUUUAAAACAUUUCUUUAGCUUAUAGCGCUCUCACUGACUACCUCUCAACAAAAAUCACCACAACCAUCGUUUUUGUCUUUUAUUUUCUGUCAUUCUUUUUUGUGUCUUUUUAAAAUACAUUUUAUACUUUUGUUAGAUUCGGUUCCAUCUUGUAUGAAAUUUGCUCUCUCUGACUCUCUCUUGCGCUUUAUGUAAUCUAAUGUAUAUUUUAACCUUCUAAGAAAACUUAGUUGCUUUGUUGCAACUUUUAAAAAGAAAAAAAAAAACAAUAUUAAUAAUAUGAAUAAAACAGAGAGUAUGGAGAGUACAGUGGCUGGUGGAGGGGAAUUUUGUGCUGGAACAGGGAGGGGGAAAUACGAUCAUAAAAUUAACAGCAAACAGUUAAACUGUUGUAAAUACUGAAGAACAUUUUGAAUGUUGCUCAUCUUGUUACUAAUUCAUGCAAAAAAGACAUAAAAAAAAAUUAUAAACAAAAACCCAUGAUGAAAAAAGAAGAAAGAAAGAAAACCUGUAAUGUAUAGAGGUUUCAGUAUUCAGAAUUGUACAUUACAAAACCCUGUGUGACAGGGUUCUAACUUUCCUUCUCUUCUCUUUUUUUUUUUUUUUUUUUUUUUUGUAUCGUAUGUGAUUCUGAAACUAAAAAAAAAAAAAAAAAAACAGUCAUACAAAAUUUAUUUGUGGCAGUGGUUCUAAUGUAUUAAAGAUGUUUCAUUUUUCUUUCUAACCAGACUACACCCUGGACUGAAAAGUCUUCCUUGUGGUAGUUAUGUGUAAUUUCGAUGAAUAAAAUGUUUUCCUUUCAUUGACAGUCUGUUUUGAUAUUGCCUUAGGUACACUUGAGGAUAUUAUAAUACUAAUAAAAAUAUUUUUUAA